CUCUACUUUUCUCUUCCUAGUGAGGGUCUUUUGUUAUUUAUCAGCUCCUUUCAAAGCAACAACCUAAGAGAUUUCACAAUACUUUUCACAUAUGGUUACUCAGCCUGGGGCUCUCCACAGCUUAGCUGUUUCAGUGAUAUUUGCACAGCACUGAGCAACAGCAUUCCUGACCUGCAGGAGAAAACCAAAGGCAAACUCGUGUGUGUGUUGUCAUCCAAUGCAUGGCCAGAACCAAAGGCAAACUCCAUUUGGGAGGUGAGCAAGGAAAACCCCUCCAAAACAGCCAGGAGCUGAAAAGAUUUGGCAAGCUUUGCAGGAGAAAACUGCCAGCAGGGAAAGACGAGGUGGAGGCAUUACUCUGACAGAAGAAGCUCUGAUUAGCAGAUUAUCACUUAAGUGAUGUUGAUCCCAGCCACGCUGCCUUCCAAAUGAGCCCUUUCACAGCUGCCAGCUGCACCACGGAGUCGUGAAUGUAAAUGAGUGGGCCAGAUCCUCUGCUGGCAUCCAUCGACGUGGCUUUGAUGGACCGUCCUGGAUCUACAACAGCCGGAGGAGUGUGGCUGUCAUGGGAGCCUGACUUGCUAUGCAGAUUUCUUUGAGAGCCUGUGGGAAAGGGCCUGAAGCUGGAUGUACUGCAGGAUAGGGCAGCAUCAACUGCACAGCUGGAGGGACCCUUGAGACUUUGACUUUUGCUGCCAAACAAAGCCAUCUUUUUGCUGAGCUUGUAAACUGUUCCCUGGUACCGUACGCCAGCAUAUAGCAUCCUGCCCUCAUAAAGCUCUACUUAUCUCCAUCCAACUUCUUGGGCUGAGCGUGUGGGAAGCAUGUGAGGGACACUCAUGAGCAGCCUCGCAUUCUCCGAGCUGUGCUUUCCCCUGGGGGUGAGCAUUCCCCUAAGUGCACAGUCCAUUUCAGCUCUGAUAAGUCUUCAGAGGUGAUGGCCUGAAACCUGCAGAGCUGGUGGUGAGAAGGCAUACUUGACCUCUGGCCACGUCCAUCCAAUCUGACAGACUGGUCUUCGGAGAAUGGUGACCAAGAAUAAGCUCCAUGUCCCACAUGCCACCUGUUCAUCUGCACCGCUCCCUCUCCAGCAGCUCAUGGGCCGUGCCCAGCCUAUGUGUGACACCUCUCUGGCUGCUCAGAUGGAAAGUAAGAGCUUGGAGAGUGAGGACAGCAUGGAGUUAUGGAAGACAUGGCUACAAGACCAUUCUUUCUCCAUCUCCAUGUGCUUCUGAAGGACCAGUCUGAUUCUGGCUCCUGCCAACUUAGGAUAUGCUAUGAUUCUGUGAACACUUUUUGCAGCAAGUCAGCCAUAAGAAACAACAUACUCUCAGACAAUCAAGCCUCCAAAUUAAGAUGGGGAGCCUUGUUGUGAAGGAGAUGGGUUUUUUUUUCCUACUGUAGAAGGGAUGUUCAAUGCUAUAGUGACAAGGAACAAUUCUUCAGCCUUAGACAGCAGAAAGAAGAAACAUAAAGAGACUGUACAGUUCUUGGGACACCGAGACAACUAUCUACGUGCUUUGUGGAAGCAGAGACAAGUAUGAGAUUUGGCUUUCUGGGCUAUGAGGGCACACAGCUGGCUCACAUCCAGCUCCCAUCCACCAUUUAGAUAAGAUACUAUUGCUUUUAAUAAAGACAAGUCAAAGAUCUUCUCCUAAGUGCUCUUAAAGAACUCCAGCAUUGUGUCUACAAUAAUCCAUCCGCCUUAAAGGAUCCAGCAGUACAUCACCACCAGUGGAUAUAAGAAGUAAUUAGUCAUCAUUUAGGGAAGUAAGAUUUAACAGUUAUUUUGUUGGCAGAAGUGCCGUGAUAAAAAUGGUACUCUGAAAGUUAUUUGGUAUUUCUCAUUGUUGCCAGAGUUCUGAACAUUUUGAUAGGAUGAAAAUAGACUUCGGUAGGAAAG
ensembl:lncRNA